UUUUUUUUUUUUGGAGAUUAAUCAAAUAUCAAAGCAAAAGAGGUUUCUUGGUCUAUUCUCGUUUUAAGUUCUUUGUUUGCUUAUUGUUUUCCUUUCAGUUUUAUUUUGUUUCUUUUAUACGAAAGUAAAAAUAAAAGGAGGAAGCUUUCCCAUUUUUACCGAAAAAGUUUUUUUUGAGGUCCGGCUGCCGUGUACGAUGGCACCGACGGUGGCCGGUGGCAGUCCGGUGACCGGACGGUGACCGGCCUUGUGGCCAGAAAUCACCCACUCUCUCCCUCUUUUUUUGUUAUUAUUAUAUUUUUUAAUAUUAUAUUAUAUAUAUUCUUUUAAUAUAUUAGGUAUAUUCUAAAUUCUAUAUUACGUAUAUAUAUUAUACUAUUUUAUGUAAAUAUCUUUAAUACUAUAUUAUUUAUAUAUAUUUUUUUUUUUCUACAAGUUAUCUUAUGUAUAUAUUUUAAUUAUAUUAUGUAUGUAUUUUUUACACUAUAUUAUGUACAUAUUUUUUUUAUAUCUAUUUCAUACAUAGGUAUAUAUUAUAUAUAUAUAUCUUAACAUUACUAGUUAUAUUUUCACUAUUUUAUGUAUAUACUUCAAACACUGUAUAUAGUAUAUUUCUAACACUAUUACUAUUUAUAAAUAUAUAUAUUUUACGUACAUACUCUUAAUAUCUUUAUUAUGUAUAUAUUCGUUGUUUUUAUUUCACAUUGGAUACUAUUAUUACGUUUAAUAUAUCGCAUGCAUUGUUAUUGUUUUAAUAUUGUUGUCAUAUUUAUUAUUUGUUUCAAUGUAUUUCCAACUCGUUUAUUUUUGUCUCCCGCCUAUUUUAUAUCAUUCUGUUGUUCAUUACUUUAAAGAUUUUUAUUCAUGUUUUUACUAAUUUCAAUAAAUAAGGUAACGUUUCGCAUUUUGGAACAUCGAAGAAUUGUGCCCUAACUUACGGGGUUUCGGUUCUCUUGUUGGUUCUAAAUAGCUAAAUAUCAUUUUGAGUUUUGAAAUGCACGGAUUUCCAAUUUAAAUUAAAAGACGACCUUGUGCUCGGGAAUUCAUGGUAUUGUCUCCUAACUUACGGGAUGUGAUACUCUGAUAUCUCAAGAUAAAGAAAUCUUUAAACAAAUCAAUUUAAACUAAUUCAAGAAUUUUAAAAUCAGUAUUAAUAAAAAAGAUCGUAUUUCAAGUCCCUUCCCGAUUUUUAAUUUUCGACAUUAAGACACUAACUAAUCAAUUCGGUACCAAAUUUUUGGGCGUGUCGAGGGUGCUAAUCCUUCCUCGCACGUAACCGACUCCCGAACUCAUUCUCUCAAGUUUCGUAGACCAAAGGCCUUGUUUUAGUAAACUAAAAUUGAUUUAUUAAAACAAAGGUGAUCUGAUCACACCUGAUAAAAGAUUGGUGGCAACUCCCGUUUUAAUUUUCACUUUCAAACAAAGUCGAUCCCCGUUUUCAAAAGAAUGGUUUCGACAGCUUGGCGACUCCGCUGGGGAAUUCGAGAGUCGAGCCUUAAAUUGAUUAUUUUUUUGUCUUUUGUCAAAAAUCGAAAAUCGAUUUUAAAUUUACUGCAUUGCAUGUUGUCUGUUAUUUUCGCGACUCUCUUCAUAAUAUGCUUGCUUUAAGUGGUUUAAUUCUUUGAGGUAUCUUUGCAUAUCGCAUCGCAUUAUCGGUCGAUUUCACCCUCUUAAGUGGAAGUGAAAAACUACUCCUUCGUGAGGUCUUCACCUCCGUAUAGGAUAGUGGAUCGCUUUCGGGAUACACCCGUACCUGCGUCUUCGUGGGGUUUUCACCUCUGUAUAGCCGUAGGGAAAUGUAUUCCCCUGAAUCGAACUCGGUCUGUAUGAACCUAUAAUGGGUGAGGAUUGAGGAAUCUUCAGGUUCAGGUACCUUUACUUUAGAACCAAACUACAUGUAAUGAGCCCUAGGAGCCUACCCUAGGUAGAACCACACCAAACCCUAGUGGUUACCUGAUUAGGUGCUUAUUUACUCACUAUUUGCUUUGAAUUCUAUUCUUUGUAUAUAAUACUAACUUGUUGUAUUUUGAUCACUUUUUGCAUGACAUUUCAUCAUAAAAGGGUGUUGAUUUACGUUCGGUUACUAAUUACAAGAGUUUAGCAUGGAAAAAGGAUUUCUUGAUAGAAUGGAGGAUAAUGCGGCCGUUCGAGUGUGGUCUGAGAGAACGCAAUAGGAGAAAGGAGAUAGUUUGACCGAGGGAUAUGAAUCGGAGUUGUGGGAUUUCACUCGCAUCAGUGUGACUUAGAACGACCUGCAAGAGUUAAGGGAUAUAUGGAAUAGUUGGAACAGCAAAGUCAAACAAAUCUUUUACUGUAACUACGGCGACCUACCCUAUUUGCUCGAUGUAAAGGUGGACAAGUACUUGUUCCGGGCCCUCGUGCAAUUUUAGAACCCCGCUUACAGUUGCUUCACUUUCGGAGGAGUUGAUUUAGUACCUACGGUGGAGGAAUACAUGGCGUUACUUAAUUGCCCGAAGAUUCAGGCUGAUAGGGCCUAUUCAAGACCUGUUAAUGUCCCUUCCUUUUUAAAGAAAUUGAUGAAUAUCACGGGGAUGAGCGAGUAAUGGGUUGCGACCCGCAUCAAGCAAAAAGGGGAUAGUAAAUGUAUUCCUUGGAGGAAUUUGAGGGAUUUUAUUCUUGCGCACCCGGAUUCGAAGAAAAGGGUUGAUGUUUUUGCCUUAAGUCUCUACGGUUUGAUCGUCUUUCCUAAAGCACUUGGACACAUAGAUGAAGUCGUCUCAGAUUUAUUCGAUCGACUUGAUAAAGAUACCACACUCGUCCCGACAAUCCUAGCAGAAACUUUCCGAUCCUUGAAUACAUGCUAGAGAGCGGGCGAGGGAAGAUUUAUUGGUUGCGCACAGCUUCUUUUGGCUUGGUUCCACAGUCAUUUUUGGAAGGUGGAGAAGGUCUCAUAUUGGGUAUUCUCUAAGGAUUAUUCCCCAUUAAGAGAAUUAGUGGCCACAUCGAGGCGGGACGACAUCUCCGAAGAGAGGUGGAUAACUAUUCUCCAAAAUUUACGGACCGAAGACGUUGAUUAGAGGGCUUCGUGGUUGAUUCUUGACGAGAUCUUAUAUAGGUGCGGUGAUUUUGACUGGGUCCCUCUGGCUAGAAUAUGGGGAGCCAUUGGAUAUGCUCCACUGAUGGUGUUAAGGCAGUAUCGAUCAAGGCAGUUUAUACCGGUGACACAAGGGUUGGUACAAUGUGAGUUCCCUUAUAAAGACAAUAAUUAUAAAAAGAGGGUUCGCGAGAUAUCAGAUGCAUGGAACCAAACUCAAAGAAUGAAAGGAUUCACUACAAGCCCGAUGACGACCCCCGAGUAUGAAUGGUGGUGGGGUAGGAGAGUCAACGACCACAUCCCUAGGUAGAAUCAAGGGAAUACACAACCGAUAGAGGAGCAUUUACGGGUCAUCCCAUCCGAGUUAAGAUCAUUAAGCAAGAUUUUGAGAAAAGAAACUCGGAGUUGGGGAAGAAGAUAGAGUAGCUAGAAGAAGGUAAAAUGAAGUUGGGGCUAGACGUCGAUAUCCACAAGCUAGAGGCUGAGAAGUUAAGGAAAUAAAAGAACAAGGCCGAGGAAGAUUUAGAUAGUUUGAAAACCGAUUACAAGAAGCUUCGUAUAACAAUAAAAACUGUCGGAUUAGGUAAAACGUCGAAACAAUGGCGUCAAGAGAUUAAAGAGGAAAAGACUAGAGGUGACUAUUGGGAGAAAAGAUUUCAAGAUGCCCGAGUACGAGAGGACACUCUGAAGAAGAGUUUGUUAGAAACCCAAAACGAAAAGGAGAAGUUACGAGCUCGGGUGGCUGAAUUGGAAAGAUUACUUCAAUAACAUCGUAACCAUAAUUCGAUAAUUAAGCUAAAGGCUAGUCUGAGCAGGAUCGAAGAGUUGAAAGGGAAAAUAGAAGAACUUGAGACCGCACUACGAGAUAGCAAAAUUUGAGUGGAACUUCUUGAGAUAAACAACGACCAUUACAGAGAACAGCUUCACCACUCUCAAAACCUGAUUAGAGAUAGAGACUGUGUCAUGGGUGAAGCUAUAGCUCAGGUUUGGGAGAUAGCUGAUCACUUGCAAACCUUGGCAGUUCAGGCCGAUAUAUUGAGCUUAAAGUACGAGUUAGAAUUAGACCGAGGCCGAAGCUUAGCUUGGCUUCUUAGGAAAGUUAAGACUUUGGGCAUUAGGGCAAAGUCGUAUAUGUAAUCAUCCGUUCUAUGUAAAGAAAUUUUUCUUCUAGUGAAGUUCUUCUAAUGAAAUUGAAUUGGAAUCAACGUCUCUUUUUGCAUCCAUUCAUCCAUUCAUUACAUAUACAUAUCCCAUAAUCAUUCACUAAGGUUAGAAUCAUAUAAUUUGCAGUUGCAACACUUCAAAUCUAGAACCACGCCAUUCGUAUAAAAUGCGUCGUCAAGCUAGAGCAAUGGAGGCUGAGUUCAAUGAAAGAAUCGAAAGGAUGGAAAGAGUCCAGAAGGAAUUACAAGAACAACUGGCUAAGUCACAGCAAGAAACGAGGGAUUUGAUAGUAAGAUCUCGAGAGGAAUCACUUGAACAAAAGGAUCAAAUGGCUAGAAUGAUGGAGAUGAUAUCAGUUAUGGUCAAAGGAAAAGGACCCAUGCAGAACCCCGACAGUAUGGAACCUCAAUCAAGAAUUAAUCAUGACCAGGAUCCACUCUAUCCCCCAGGAUUCACUCCACCACAUGUCCACGUAGCACAAAGAGGGUAUACUCAAGGGGAAUCCACAGGCUUGGAACAACGACCUAUGCCAUUUGCUCAUCCAGGGCAAGGAACAUUUAUGUUAAAUCCCGGAGCAACCCCUGCCAAUUCUGUAGUUCCAAAUUUAGAUGAUCCAGUCGAAAUAGCCAAGUUGAAAAUAGAUGAUCACGAGGCUCAAGAGAAGUAUAGGAAUUUGGAAGAAAGACUCAAGGCAAUAGAAGGCACUGAAGUCUUCUCGGUACUAGGUGCUAAAGAACUCAGUUUGGUACCUGACCUAAUCCUGCCUCCGAAGUUCAAGGUGCCUGAUUUCGAAAAGUACGAUGGGACAAGAUGUCCAAAAGCACAUCUUGUUAUGUUUUGCCGAAAAAUGACCGGUUACGUGAACGAAGAUAAGCUACUUGUACAUUGUUUUCAAGAUAGUCUAGUAGGAUCGGCUCUUCGGUGGUACAACCAGCUCAGUAAGGAAAGGAUCCGAUCUUGGAAAGACUUGGCGUCGGCAUUCUGUGAGCAGUAUAAGCAUGUAUCAGAUAUGGUGCCUGAUCGGAUGACUUUACAAAUGAUGGAGAAAAAGCCGUUAGAAACUUUUAGACAGUACGCGCAGAGAUGGAGGGACGUCUCAGCCCAAGUGGAACCCCCACUAACGAAAACGGAGAUAACCGUCCUUUUUAUCAACACCUUAAAGACGCCGUUUUAUGACAAACUAGUGGGAAGCGCCACGAAGGACUCCGCGGAUAUUGUAAUAUCCGGUGAGCUUAUAGAGAACACCGUCAAGAGCAGUAGAAUGAAAGGUCAAGAAAGUUCAAGAAGGGUAGCACCCAUCAAGAAGAAAGAACCAGAAGCCCACAUGGUGGGAAUGGGAAGUCGUUAUGCCCCUAAUCUAUAUCCAAACCAACCCCGACCUCAAAGUUAUCCACCUCCAAAUUUCUAUUAUCCCCCUCAAACCCCUUACUACCAAGCACCACCUCCUUCCUACCCCGUAUACGCCACGAAAAACCAAAGACCCGUCACCACAUUCCUACAAAACACGGUACCCGCUCAAAGCCAGCCCAGAAAUGAACCAAGACCAGCAAGGCCUAAUCUCGAGAGACCGCAAUUUACUCCUAUCCCUAUGUCGUAUAGGGAAUUGUACCCAAAACUUUUGGAGAAACAGCUGAUUUCUCCCCUUUACAUGGCACCCCUUAAACCUCCAUACCUAAAGUGGUACGAUCCAAACGCUAGUUGUGCAUACCACGUGGGGAACCAGGGCAUUCCGCGGAGAAUUGCCUAGCCUUUAAGAGGAGAGUUUAAGGACUCAUUGACGCGGGUAUCCUACGGUUCGAUAGUGCCAGUAAUGUAACUGGGAAUCCGUUCCCUAACCAUGCUGAAGGGAAUGUGAGCACAGUGGGAAAAGAGGACGAAUAGAAAGUCAGAAGAUGUGUUUUGGAAAUAAGGACGCCUCUGCAGAAAAUCUGGGAGGUACUAGUUAAGAAAGGAUUGCUUUGUCACCCUGAUAGAAUUCUCGGAGAAGAAGGUCAAAGUUUUUGCAAUUUCCAUGGAAUUGUAGGACACGACAUUCGGUCGUGUGAGGAAUUUAAAAGGUUGCUUCAAGACCGGAUGGAUAAUAAAGAGAUUAAGGUCCUUAACAAGAGGGAAGAGACCAACGAACGAGAAGUAUGCACCUCUGACAACCAGUCAUCAGGUCUCCCUUAUAGCGCGAAUCGAUCGUUAAUAAUUUAUUACGACACGACGAAAGAGCCGGUGAAACCAAAAAUGAUAAUCGAAGUACCGUCUCCUUUCCCGUACAAGGACGACAAAGUCGUACCAUGGAAAUAUGACAUCAAUAUCGUCACACCGGAAGAUGAAAAGCUCAAAACCAUAACUGGAGAUGUUAGAGAGGUAGGUCAUUUUACCCGAAGUGGAAGAUGUUAUUCGAAAAAGGUCGAACUAGUAAAGAAGAACAGUGACUGGAAGCAAAAAGGGAAAGCAGUGAUGCAUGAGGCCGAAGUCAAGCAAGAAAUUCCACCCGUGCAAGAAACUAAAAAGCCUGUGGAUGAGGAGGAAGCACAGGAGUUCUUAAAAUUUAUCAAACACAAUGAAUACAAUGUGGUGGAACAAUUGAAUAAGCAACCAUCACGAAUCUCAAUUUUAUCUCUGCUGCUAAAUUCGGAGCCACACCGGAACGCUUUGCUGAAGGUGUUGAAUCAAGCUUACGUGGCAAACAAUAUAUCCGUGGAGAAGCUGGACAGAUGGGUGAACAACUUGAAUGCAGAUAAUUUCAUUUCUUUUAGUGAUGACGAAAUACCACCCAAUGGUAGAGGCUCUGUAAAAGUACUAUAUGUUACGACUCAUUGCAAGGGCUAUAUAAUACCGAAUGUGCUUAUCGAUAAUGGCCCGACACUCAAUGUUAUGCCUUUGGCCACGCUUUCCAGAAUUCCGAUAGAUCCAUCCUAUUUAAGGCCCUGUCAUUCCACGGUAAGGGCAUUCGAUGGGACAAGGCGUGAAGUUAUGGGAAAGAUUGAUAUCCCUUUAGAAGUGGGCCCUUAUAUUUACAAUGUCGAGUUCCAAGUCAUGGACAUCACACCCUCGUAUAACUGCCUUCUGGGAAGGCCCUGGAUCCAUUCUGCUGGAGCAGUUCCAUCCUCUCUCCAUCAAAAAGUAAAGUUCAUCAUGGAUGGUUGUUUGGUCACUGUCGAGGGAGAAGAAGACAUUAUCGCAUCUAUCUCUGCUGAUGCGCCAUAUCUUGAAGUAAGCAAAGACGCAGUGGAAUGUUCCUUUCGAUCCCUUGAAUUUGUCAAUACCACUUUUGUCGCUGAGGGAAAUAGAAUUUUGAUGCCAAAACUGUCGAGAAAUACCAGAAUGGGUGUCAAGUUGACUGUAGGAAGGGGAGCUUGAGCGAGAAGAGGUUUAGGGAGAUAUCUGCAAGGAAUAGUCAGGGCUCUAAAGCCAGUGCACCACAAGGCCCGAUACAGUUUGGAGUUCCAGCUAGACAUGCAACAAAGAAGAAAAUAGUUACAGAAAGAUCGAGAAAGGCGGAUUGUAAGAGCCUUAGGCCGAGAAUUAGAAUGGGAGCCUAUAACGUACCCUUCUUUGUCAAAAAACAUUUACGUCUGCAGGAAUGAUAUACCCAGGGUAGUAUAGUGCACAAAGCACAAUGUUAAUGAUCGAAGAGGGUUUUUAGAAUAUCAGUAUAAAUGUCAUUGAUAAAGGAGCUAACGCGAGUAAAGAUGUCUCAAAGAUACGCCCUUGUCCCCCGGGUUUCAUGUUGAACAAUUGGACUGCCGAUGAUCUUAUUGUAGUUUAUAAGUCUUCAGAGUAAUGCUCAAACGUUAACAUUCUAUUAUUUCCUUAGAUAUAAUAGAGUUCUUUUGUAAGAGCCUGCAUUCGCUCUUUAUCAUUCAAAUGAAUAUCAAUGAAGAUGCAUUUUGUCAUAAUCUUUCACAUUAUCACUAAUUUCAUAAUCAUUUUUUCCUUUCAUAGCCAAUCCUCACAUUUGCCUCAAGCCAUGCCAUAACAUUUCGUUUGUUGGUUCCAAUACUUGGAUGCCCCUCUAUAGUCUCCUUUUUUAUUCAACUUUCAGGUGCUCAGAUGUCAACAGCAUGAACAAACCCGUUACGAGUCCUGAAAUCGAUUUUGAGAAGGCUGUUUGUUUAGAAGAAUUCGAAGCCGAAGAAAAUGCUGAAGACUAUGUCUCGUCUCCUGACUUGCUAAGAAUGGUGGAACAAGAGGAUAAACAGAUUUUGCCUCAUCAAGAAUCUGUUGAAACAAUAAAUUUGGGAACUGAAGAAAUGAAGCAAGAAGUGAAGAUUGGGACCUCUAUUUCAAGGGGCACCGGGCAUAAUUUGAUUGUUUUUCUCCGCGAGUAUAAAGAUGUAUUCGCAUGGUCAUAUCAAGAAAUGCCAGGAUUGGAUGAAGAUGUAGUGGUUCAUAAGCUCCCGUUAAAACCAGAAUGCAAACCCAUUUAGCAAAAGCUAAGACGGAUGAGACCUGAGAUACUAUUAAAGAUAAAAGAAGAGGUCAAAAAGUAAUUCGAUGCGGGUUCCUUACAAGCUUCCAAAUAUCCAGAAUGGGUUGCUAACAUAGUCCCGGUGCCAAAGAAGGACGAAAAAGUACGAAUGUGUGUGAAUUAUCGUGACCUAAAUCGAGCAAGUCCUAAAGAUAAUUUUUCCUUACCGCACAUUGAUACGUUAGUAGAUAACACAGGAAAACAUUCAUUAUUUUCUUUCAUGGAUGGAUUCUCGGGGUAUAAUCAGAUCAAAAUGGCCCCUGAGGAUAUGGAGAAAACUACCUUCGUAACAAUGUGGGGAACAUUCUGCUACAAGGUAAUACCAUUUGGGCUAAAAAAUGCUAGGGCAACAUAUCAGAGGGAUAUGGUAACGUUAUUCCAUGACAUGAUGCAUAAAGAAAUAGAGGUCUAUGUCGACGAUAUGAUUGCUAAAUCCCGAGGGGAAAAAGAGCAUGUAGUGAACCUGAAGAAGUUGUUCGACAGACUGAGAAAGUUCCAGCUAAAGCUCAAUCCGGCCAAAUGUACGUUUGGGGCUACCUCAGGAAAAUUGCUUGGCUUCAUUGUCAGUGAGAGAGGCAUUGAAGUUGAUCCAGAUAAAAUAAAAGCCAUUCAAGAGUUACCACCUCCGCGCACGCAAAAGGAAGGCAGAGGAUUUUUAGGGAGAUUAAACUACAUCGCCCGAUUUAUAGCUCAACUUACCAAUCAAUGCGACCCAAUCUUUCGACUUCUUCGAAAACAUAAUCCCGGAGAAUGGAACGAAGAGUGCCAAGUGGCUUUUAACAAGAUAAAACAGUAUUUGUCUAGUCCUCUAGUGCUAGUACCACCAAUGCCGGGAAGACCAUUGAUAUUGUAUUUGACUGUGUUCGAGAAUUCAAUGGGUUGCGUACUGGGGCAACAUGACGAGUCCAGAAAGAAAGAAAAGACGAUCUACUACCUCAACAAAAAGUUCACUGAAUAUGAGGCAAAGUAUUCGUCCAUAGAAAAAUACUAUUGUGCUCUGGUUUGGGUAGCUCGGAGAUCCAGGCAAUAUAUGUUGUAUCAUACGACAUGGCUAAUUUCAAAGUUGGACCCAAUAAAAUACAUGAUAGAAUCACCUGCACUCUCAGGAAGAAUGGCACGAUGGCAGUUCUUACUAUCAGAAUAUGAUAUCGUCUAUGUGAGCCAAAAGUCGAUAAAAGGGAGCACAAUAGUUGACUUCUUAGCAACUCGAACAACGGAGGAAUACGAGCCAUUGAGAUUUGAUUUCCCAGAUGAAGACUUGAUGUGCAUUACAGAAAAAGAAUGUGAGUCAUCAAAAGAAAAGUCAUGGAAGAUGAGCUUUGAUGGUGCAUCGAUUGCAUUGGGGCAUGGGAUUGGAGCAGUCUUAGUAUCACCAGAAGGAAACCAUUAUCCGUUCACUGCCAGGUUGAAUUCUGUUGAUACUAAGACCGGGCAAAAUUGGCCUUUCUUUGUGUCUAGCAGUCUAAGUAUGGCCGUUCAAAAAUACCUGGAUGAGAAGAGCACCAAAGAAGUCCAUACUUAGUAAGACCGGGCAAAAUUGACCUUUCUUUGUGUCUUUGCUUUAUUCCCGUUACACGAUAAUAAGCAAAGAGGGGCAGCUGUUGGAGGCCAAUUUUAACCCAUUUACAUCAAAACCCAAUUUAACCUUACCUAACCCACCAAAAUUAAACCCAAAACCCAAAAUCUUAACUACCCAAAGCCCAAUUUACAUCAAAACCCCAAUGGCCCAAACCCUAAGCCUAAAUCAAAAUAAAAAAAAACCCUAGCCCACAACCUAAACUUUUCUCAACUAAAUCCUAGCCUUUGCCACCACCAACUCCACUAGCCACAUUUGCUCCACCACCUACUCCACUAGCCACACUUGCUCCACCACCUACUCCAUUAGCCACACUUGUUCCACCACCACUUGUACCUACAAAUGAAGACAUAAACAAUAAAAAAUAUUUGGUAAAUGGCUAUAUAAGCCUUCUCAUAUUUUGUAUUUAGGGGAGGAAGAAGUUUUAGGGGAGAAAGUUAUUGUAAAGGAUUUUUGAGAGGUUUUUUGAGAGUAAUCAAGGAGAAGAGUUAUUGUAAAGGCUAGUUUUUUUUUUUGGAGAUUAAUCAAAUAUCAAAGCAAAAGAGGUUUCUUGGUCUAUUCUCGUUUUAAGUUCUUUGUUUGCUUAUUGUUUUCCUUUUAGUUUUAUUUUGUUUCUUUUAUACGAAAGUAAAAAUAAAAGGAGGAAGCUUUCCCAUUUUUACCGAAAAAGUUUUUUUGAGGUCCGGCUGCCGUGUACGGUGGCACCGACAGUGGCCGGCGACGGUCCGGUGACCGGACGGUGGUCGGCCUUGUGGCCGGAAAUCACCCACUCUCUCCCUCUCUUCUUUUUGUUAUUAUUAUAUUUUUUAAUAUUAUAUUAUAUAUAUAUUCUUUUAAUAUAUUAGGUAUAUUCUAAAUUCUAUAUUACGUAUAUAUAUUAUACUAUUUUAUGUAUAUACUUCAAACACUAUAUAUAGUAUAUUUCUAACACUAUUACUAUUUAUAAAUAUAUAUAUAUUUUACGUACAUACUCUUAAUAUCUUUAUUAUGUAUAUAUUCGUUGUUUUUAUUUCACAUUGGAUACUAUUAUUACGUUUAAUAUAUCGCAUGCAUUGUUAUUAUUUUAAUAUUGUUGUCAUAUUUAUUAUUUGUUUCAAUGUAUUUCCAACUCGUUUAUUUUUGUCUCCCGCCUAUUUUAUAUCAUUCUGUUGUUCAUUACUUUAAAGAUUUUUAUUCAUGUUUUUACUAAUUUCAAUAAAUAAGGCAAUGUUUUGCAUUUUGGAACAUCGAAGAAUUGUGCCCUAACUUAUGGGGUUUCGGUUCUCUUGUUGGUUCUAAAUAGCUAAAUAUCCUUUUGAGUUUUGAAAUGUACGGAUUUCCAAUUUAAAUUAAAAGACUACCUUGUGCUCGGGAAUUCAUGGUAUUGUCUCCUAACUUACAGGAUGUAAUACUCCGAUAUCUCGAGAUAAAGAAAUCUUUAAACAAAUUGAUUUAAGCUAAUUCAAGAAUUUUAAAAUCAGUAUUAAUAGAAAAGAUCGUAUUUCAAGUCCCUUCCCGAUUUUUAAUUUUCGACAUUAAGACACUAACUAAUCAAUUCGGUACCAAUUUUUUGGGCGUGUCGAGGAUGCUAAUCCUUCCUCGCACGUAACUGACUCCCGAACUCAUUCUCUCAAGUUUCGUAGACCAAAGGCCCUGUUUUAGUAAACUAAAAUUGAUUUAUUAAAACAAAGGUGAUCCGAUCACACCUGAUAAAAGAUUGGUGGCGACUCCCAUUUUAAUUUUCACUUUCAAACAAAGUCGAUCCCCGUUUUCAAAAGAAUGGUUUCGACAAUCUAGAAGGCAAUUCUAUUAAUUUUUUCAAAUGAAUAAUUAUUUUAUGUGGUAGUUUAGAUAAAAGAAAAAAAAUAUUAUUUAAUAAAUAAUUUUUAUAUGAUAAAAUUUGAACUCAUAAGUAAAUCUUUAAGUUAUUUUAGUAGAUAAUUUUAUGAUAUAAUUAUCCUUGACUUGUUUUCGUACAUAUAUAACUAUCCUUAAUGGCGUUUGAUAUCAUAUACCCAAUUUUAUAUAGUAUCAAUAACACUUGAAUUUAAACCCUCACAUUUAAAUAUAUUAAAUUUAAAUUCUAAAUUUUUUUAAUUCGUUAUAAAAUAAUAUUUAACUUAAAAAUAUUUAAAAGAAAUUAUUUAUAUUAACAAAUGUUUGAUGUAGUGGUAAGGCACAUUGGAUUAUUAAAGAAGGGAGAUAUAAGUUUGAAGUUUGUUUGAAGUUUAAACUUUAUAGUUUGUUUGAAGUUUAAACUUUAUAGAUGAUAUUAUUAGAAGAGAUAGCCAUAAAUCCCGAAUAUAAACUGUAAAACAGACAUAAACAAUACCAAAAAAAAAAUUACUUAUGCUAAGAUUGAAAUAAUUUAUAUUCUAUCAAAAAUAUAUAUACUUUUAAUUAGAUAUAACCAUUUUCAACUAUCUUGAAAAUAACCCAAAGUUGUCCAACGAAACCCAAUAUAUUUCAUGCAUCCUCUUGGAAAUUAAUGUUAAAUCAAAAGUGUUUGUUUUAAAAACAUCAAAUAAAAGAUGGAAAAAAAUUUGACAUAAAGAGAAAAAGAGAAAAGGGGCCAAAGAAGAGACAUUGGUGGCAAACAUCAGAAUACCAACCAAAUCCCAUGUUUGCCUACCUUUGUGUGUGUCCAGUGACUUGAAUAGGAUAUAUAUAUAUAUUUGCUUUUACUUACCAUUAUUCUGUUCUUACUUUACUCCAACAUUAUAUAGUGGAAAACAACUUUUCCAGAUUUAGAUAAGACCCAUUUUCUGUUCAUUAUUUAUUUCCUUUGAUCUAUUUCCCUCCUGUAUUUGCUCAUCAUUUAUCCAAUAAUUAUUUUCUUUUUCCUUUUCCUUUAUUUAUAUAUAUAUCUCUUCUUUUAAUUCACACAAAAUUGUGCAAAUGAUUUAAGACUUUUGUAUGGGAUAAUAAGUCAAUGCCAAGGAGAAAUUUCUAUUUCAUAUAUGUCUAAGAGUCGCCCGACAUCUUAUAUAUCAAAAGGAAAAUAAAAAAUUAAAUGUUAGAAAUAACAUCAUACCCAAAAAAAAAAUAUUUUCUUUUAUAUACCACAAUCAUCUCAGGUGCACACACAUAUUACAUUAUCACACAAACGAAAUUACAAAUCAAAUUUUGAUCUCAGGUAAACUCCCUUUCAGCCAAUGGCUUAAGGCUUGAGUUCAUUCUCUAUUAUUAUUAUUAUUAUUAUUAUUAUUAUUAUUAUUAUUAUUAAGGUUUGAUAUAUAAUGGUUAAUUAGACAUGUUCAAAAUCCAAAUUUUUUUAUUUGGUUACCAACCUUAUUUUGGGCAUAUUCUAGACGGGUCCAAAAGGUUAAAAAUAUUAUUUUAUAUAAUAAUAAAAAUAUUUUUAUAAUUCAAUUUAAAUAAAAUACUAUUGUUAAAUAAUAAAUUGGGCCAGAUCUAAUUUAAUUACAAUUUUCCCUCAAAGCUUAGCUCUUAAAUACACCUACUAUUUGUAAGUCAAACGAUACCAGUUAAACACCGUAAUUAUAAAAAAAUUAAUUAUUAAUAUAGUAAUUAUACUAUUUAUAAUUAUAAAAAAUUCUAAUUUUAAAUAUCUUUCUUUAAAAAAUAAAAAAUAACAAUGUUAAAAAUCAACCACACUAAUUACUCACGUAAUUUCUAUUAUUUUAAAAUUUAUAAAAAGUGUAGUUGAAAUACUUAAAUUUAGUGUGACUUGCUAAUUAAUUUUUUUUAAUGAGAUAUUGUGUAAUGUCAUUCUGAGUUUUGUACAGGGGUAGAACAUGGCAUUCAAUUUUUUAAUAUUUUGGGGUAUAAUUAAAAUUUUGAAAAAAUUAAAGAGAUUUUUUAAAAUUUUAAAUAACUUAAUUAAAAUUUUUAAAACUUUUAUAUAAUUUAAUUAAAAUUUUAAAAACUUUUAAGAGGUCUAAAUAAAAUUUUUAAAACAUUUGAAGAACUUAAUGAUAAUUUUUCAUAUUUUUGAACGGCCAAGGACCCCUAGGCACCUCUAAUAUUCCAUCCGUGGUUCUAUAUUCAAAAUUAGUUAACAAAAUUGAUUUAAUAUGUAAUUUCAAUAAUGAUUGUUAUACCACAUUUGCAAGUUCUCUCCAUGUGUCUCUAGCAGGCGAAUUACAUAUUGUAUGUGCGUCUUUGUCGGGAAGAUCUCAUGUCGAGCCAACCUUAGACCAUAGUCAAUGUUGUGGCCAGUCCUAGUUAGACCACCUUCCAAAGCGCAUUUGGAGUAUAGACUCAUUGAUUAUUUAAUUGUUAUAAAAUGUCAUUGUUGAAAAAAUCAAUUUAGAAAACAAUAUUUUUAAGCACAAGGAAGUUUAAAAAUUUUCUUAAAUCCGAGCCUUAUGAUAUUUAUAAUAAUAAAUUUUUAAUCGAAAUUAUACAUGUUCUCUUUAUGAAGGCAAUCUAGGUUCUUUCUCGGCUUUCAACCGAUUGAUCUUCUUAAUUAUCCUCAAAUCCCAAAUUGCUCGAGUGUGGGCACAAACAAAUCAAACCAAGUGCACGUAAUAAAUUUUUUUUCUUAAAACUUUUAGUGAGAAAGUUAAUUAUUUCCAUAAAUGGAAACUAUGAGCUUUGCCCCCCCCCAAAAAAAAUUUAUUCUUAAAAAUAAAUUAACAAUAUUUUCCAACAGAAUAACGAUGCUAUCAAAGUUGUGUAUAGGUUAACUCAUAGUUCUUAUUUGUAGAGAAACGGUAUGAGGAUUCUAUUCAAAUAAAGUAUAAUUAAAUAAUAAUAUUUUAAUAGAAAAUAAAAAUUCUACUCUAAAUAGAAUACAAGGGGAUGGCAUCCCUACGGUAUCUAGGGUUUGCGCCCUCACAUUAAAACUUAGCCUUAUUGGGUCAUUCGCGUAUUGAGUAUAUUUAUAUGUAUUAUCUGGUCUUUUGUCUAAGGCUUAUUAUUUAUCCAACCCAUUAAUUAUUUUUUAUUUCUCAAAAUAGUAAUUAUUUAAUUUAUUAAUUUAAUAAAUUAAUUAAAUUAAAUUAAAUUAUCAUCCCAAUUCUAAUGCCAUUAAAGUAUUGACAACUUUACCCCACUUCCCAUUCCUAUUAAAAUAGGAAUGGGACUCCUACUUUUUUCGACGGCAACAAAAAAUUUUCGUCGUAUGUGGGCUUUUCCCAAUAUUUUAUUGUUAAGUAUAGUUAUGAUUUUUUUGCUCGAUCUAUCUAUUCAACAAAUAAAUGGAAGUUCUAUCUAUCAAUAUGUAUGAUCUUUGUAACACCCCAAACCCGGCCUAGAAGUCUAGACCGAAUUUGAAAUGCUACAUUGAUCACAAAAGUGAUCGUGUAAAAAUUUUACAAUUCAAGUUGUUCAGAAAUCAAAAACUAAUACUCCGUACUAUUGAAACUGUUCGAGACCUCCGCGUACUGAGUUCAGCAUCUAGAAUUCAGAACUGUACCUGAAAGGGGAAACAGAAGAGGGGGUGAGCUACUCGAGCUCAGUAUGAGAUCAAACCAAUUAAACUACAAAAGAGAAGCCAGGAAACUAGAAGCAAUUCAGAAAUAGAACAUACUUAUAAACCAACUAAAAUAAAUACAAACCAUAUGUAACUUUACAGUCAUAUGGCUCUGUCAUACACAUUAACAACAACUCCCAGUAGUCACAAACUGGGCCUAAGCCCUUUUCUAGAAUCAGUAUUAAUUUUCAGUUGGGGCUAAGGCCCUUCUCAGUAACUAUCCAGUCAGACAGUAGCAUAUCUACGGAAUCCUCUUAGGCAUAAGAUCCUUUCAGUCAAUAAAUCAAUCACAUCCAAAUACAGUAUUACGUUCAGUCAAACAUAUUAUUCAGACAUCUUUAUCGAGCAGUACAGUCACAUUCAGUCACACACAUAUAAUCAGAUGCAUAUGAGUGCAAAUAAGUUAUAGAAUAACCUACCCAUCCAACCAGAACACCAUCUCUGUCCAACCCUACACUUCUUGUGGAGAUUUAAUCAAUCGACCCAUCUCUGCACUUCAAGUAGGACCUCGAAAAGCCUAUCCAACCUUAUACUCUAUAGGAUGUCAUCCUGGGUUUCCCUGCAACGAUGAUCAUCAGCAUUGUCCUCGACCCUCAGGGAAUUGGGACUGCCUUCGACUGUCUGGGAAUUGGGGCUAAUAGUGUACAGAUAAACUACUAGUCUCAUAUAUUACAUAGCAAUGCUAGCGUACAAGCUGUACAAUGCAAUCCAGUAAACCGCAGUACAGACGUACAGUAUGAAUUGCCGAAUCAGAUAAAGGUAUGAAGCGUAGCUAACUUACUUGCGGUACAGUACAAUACGGUUAUCCUCUAUACCAUUAUGAUGUCAUCCCGAUUUGCCCGGCAAUUAUGAUCAUCCGCAUUGUCCACGACUCUCAGGGUAUUGGGACUAUCAAAAUACAGAUAAACUGCCAAAUCAUAAAUCUUCCUUCUCUUUGGCAUCCUGCCCAAAAUAGUUUAUACAUAUGUAUGUAUGUAUGCAGUCAGAUGUACACAACCAGAAUACCAGUCUCAGAUAAUUAAUCAGAAGCAGACAUUCAUAUCUAAUCAAUCAGACAGUACCCAUUGCAUACACAUUCACCCAGUUAAUCGGGUUCAGAAUCAAACAUGUGCACCUUCAUAUCUCGAAUUCAGUAACCACUUAUCACACAACCAAUCACAAAUGCACACAUAUCAAUACCAGAUCAAAGUCAUAAAUACCCACAGAAAGGCUUAGUCGAGGGUUGGAACACACAAAGUCACAUUUUCACUUACCUUUGACCUAAAACCAAAGUUUGGCGAGAUAGGGCCACACGCCCUUAUGCCCCAGCUAUGUGGGGGUCCAAACGCCCAUGUGAAGGGUAGCACAUGGUCGUGUGACAGAGGCACAUGCCCAUGUGAAGUAGGGACAUAGACGUGUAACUCUCUGUCCAAAAUCACUAAAUAAAGUGUAGGGAAGACACGACCGUGUGAGGGUCUCACAUGCUCGUGUGUCUACCAAACACGGCCGUAUGCUCCGAAGCACAUGUCUGUGUGGAAUCUCUAAUCCCCAAAUUAGCCACACGAUCAUGUGACUCCAAAUCUUAAAUCCAUAAUUCCCAAAUUCACACGCCCAUGUGCCCAAGGGACACGACAGUGUGAAAAUCGAUAACUUUCCCCAAAUCGGCCCAAGGUCGUGUGGCACCUAAUUUUGCCUGGAAAUCCUAAUUCUCAAAUCCACACGGUCGUCUGCCUUGUGGCUUUUAGGAGGCCACGAAACCACACCAAAUCAAUUCCAAAACCACCGUUCCAGCCACUGUAACAGUCCCUAGCCUUUACCCUAUCAACAUACAUUAGAAUUUGGAGUAUUCCACUCACUUUCAACAUUCAGAAAACCAAAACCAAAGCGUUUAAACACGCAUACAUGAUAGGUCAUAUCAGAAAUUUGGGAAAACUAAAAUAAUGUAGAGAAGGUUUGAAUCCCACGCCUAUUACGUGAUCAGGGAUGACAACAGAAAAGCAGAAAUCCCGAUGCCAACAGUCCAAAAUCGAUUUUUGAGUAUAUUUGAAAAAGAGUAGAAAAAUAUAAAGCAAAAGAAGAAGAAAAGAAAAGCAGAAACGUGAAAAAGAAAGUGAAAGAAUAAAAAUAAAAAAUAACGUACGCACCCAAAGACUCGAACCCAGAACCCCAAGGUACACUAACACUCCACUUCGUCACUAGACCAGCAGGCCCAUUCUUACACUAAAAUGCAUAACUAAUCACUUAUGUGCAACCUUCUCACUAUCCCUAUGCUCAAAACCCAAAACUUCUAGGCUUAAAAUUCGAGGCGUUACAAUUCUCCCCUCCUUAAAGAAAUUUUGUCCUCGAAAUUUCAAACUAUUAGAGCAGUCAUAAAUCACAACCUAUACCACUACGCUUUCGCUGUACACUCUUAUUCCAAAGACUACCGCACUAAGCUUGAACUUAGGACCACUCACUCACAUUCAGAACACUUAACCACUAAAGCAAAUACACAAUUAUAACAUCAAUCAACACAUCGUCAUAUUCUCCAUAUACCUGACUCAAAAACAUCAAAGACAAUCUCGCACCCAAUGUUCCUUAAACCCACACAUAAGACACGCUCCUGACUUCCACCAACAAUCACCCAAAUGUUGCCUCUUACAAUGCUCACAAGAAGGAAUGCUCGUAUCACUACUAGCACUACCUUUACUAUUACUCAGAUGUGUCCUAGCACACUUCGCAGAACGAGGCUCCAACCUUGGAGAACUGUGAUCUCUCUUCUUCCCACAAUCCGCGCAUCUAGCUUGAAAAGUCUCACUAUUCUCUCUUAUCCUAGCCUCAAACACUUCAUCUGGCACUUCCCUCACUAACCAGGUCAAUGCCUCAGUACUAAGCUUCGAGUUAUCACUACCCGAAGUUGGCAGACUUACAUUGACUUCCUCCUCCUGAACAAUUUCACAUUUUGGAGAAGCAGAAGAAUCCAUACGAUCAUGUUUACCUUUAGAAUACAUAUCAGUAAAAAUCUACACUUUCAGAAUACAAACACAGAAUCAGUACUAAAUCUAAAUUCAAGUAUUUCAGUUUCAAAUUUCUACCUGGUCCAGCAUCGGAGUCUCAGGUAGUUCAUUUUCUUAAAUCAUUUUCAAAUUCAAACCAUUCUAAUUUUCAGUGGUACAAUUUUUUUCAAAGGUUAUUCAAAAUUAUUUAUUUGAGCACAUGUCCACGUAGAAAACACAGGCCAAUUUUUUACAAACUUAGCUCUGAUACCACUAAAGUAACACCCUAAACCAGACCUAGAAGACUAGACUGAAUUUGAAAUACUACAUUGAUCACCAAAGUAAUCGUGUGAAAAUUUUACAAUUCAAGUCGUUUAGAAAUCAAAAACUAAUACUCCACACUAUUGAAACUAUUCGAUACCUUCGCGUACUGAGUCCAGCAUCUAGAAUUUAGAAUUGUACCUGAAAGGGGAAAUAGAAGAGGGGGUAAGCUACUCAAGCUCAAUGUGAGAUCAAACCAAUUAAACUACAGAAGGGAAGCCAGAAAACUAGAAGUAGUUCGGAAAUAGAGCAUACUUACAGACUGACUAAAACAAAUACAGACCAUAUGUAACUUUACAUUCAUAUGACUCUGUCAUACACAGUAACAACAACUCCCAGUAAUCACAAACUGGGCCUAAGCCUUUUUCCAGAAUCAGUAUCAGUUUUUAGUUGGGGCCUUAACCCCUCUCAGUAACUAUCCAGUCAGAUAGUAGCAAUCAUAUCUACGAAAUCCUUUUAGGCACAAGAGCCUUUUAGUCAAUAAGUCAAUCACAUCCAAAUAUAAUAUUACGUUUAGUCAAACAUAUCAUUCAGACAUCUUUAUCGAGCAGUACAGUCACAUUCAGUCACACACAUACAAUCAGAUGCAUAUGAGUGCAAAUGAGUUAUAAAAUAACCCACCCAUCCAACCAGCACACCAUCUUCAUCCAACCCUACACUUCCUGUAAGAAUUUAAUCAACCCACCUAUCCCUGCACUCCUAGUAGGACCUCGAAAAGCCCAUCCAACCUUAUACUCCAUAGGAUGUCAUCCCGAGUUGCCUGACAAUGAUGAUCAUCAACAUUGUCCUCGACCCUUAGGGAAUUAGGACCGCCCUCGACCGUCUGGGAAUUGAGGCUAAUGGUGUACAGAUAAAUUGUCAGCCUCAUAUAUUACGCAGCAAUGCUAACGUAUAAACUAUACAGUGCAAUGCGAUAAAUCGCAGUACAGACGUGCAGUAUGAACUGCCAAAUCAGAUAAAGGUACGAAGCUUACAUAACGUACUUGCGAUACAGUGCAAUGCGGUUUUUCGCUGUACCAUUAUGAUUUCAUCUCGGGUUGCCCAGUAAUGAUGAUCAUCCGCAUUGUCUAUGACCCUCAGGGUAUUGGGACUAUCAGAAUGCAGAUAAAAUGCCAAAUCGUAAAUCUCCCUUCUCUUCGACAUCUCGCCCAAACUAAUUUAUGCAAAUGUAUAUAUAUAUGCUGUCAGAUGUACACAACCAGAAUACCAGUCUUAGAUAAUUAAUCAAAAUCAGACAUUCACAUCCAAUCCAUCAGAUAGUACCCAUUGCACACAUACUCACCCAGUUAAUAGGGUUCAGAAUCAAACAUGUGCACCUUCAUAUCUCGAAUUCAGUAACCACUUAUCACACAACCAAUCACAAAUGCACACAUAUCAAUCCCAGAUCAAAGUAAUAAAUACCCUAAAAAAGGCUUAGUCGAGGGUUGGAACACACAGAGUUGCAUUUGCACUUACCUUUUUACCUAAAACCAAAUUUUGAUGAGAUAGGGCCACAUGCUCAUGUGCCCUGGCCGUAUGGAGUAACCCAAGCCGUGUGGGGGUCCAAAUGCCCUUGUGAAAGGUAGUACACGACCAUGUGACAGAGGCAUACAUUCGUGUGAAGUAGGGACACGCCCGUGUGAACAGGCCGUGUAACUCUCUAUCCAAAAUCACUAAAUAAAGUGUAGGGAAGACACGACCAUGUGAGGGUCUCACACGCCCGUGUGCCCGCCAAACACGACCAUGUGCUCCGAAGCACACGCCCGUGUGGAAUCCCUAAUCCCUAAAUUAGCCACACUACUGUAGGGCCAGGCCGUAUGACUCCAAAUCUUAAAUCCCUAAUUCUCAAAUUCACAUGUCUGUGUGGCCAAGGGACACGGCCGUGUGAAAAUUGACAACUUUCCCUAAAUCAGCCACACGGCCGUGUGGCCAGGCUGUGUGGAACCUAAUUUGACCCAAAAACCCUAAUUCCGAAACCCACACGGCCGUGUGCCUUGUGGCCUUCAGGGAGGCCACGAAACCACCCCAAAUCAGUCUCAAAACCACCGUUCCAGCCACCGUAACAGUCCCUAGCCUUUACCUUAUCAACAUACAUUAGAAUUUAGAGUAUUCCACUCAUUUUCAACGUUCAGAAAACUAAAAUCAAAGCAUUUAAACAAACAUACAUGAUAGGUCAGAUCGAAAAUUUGGGAAAACUAAAAUAAUGUAGAGAAUGUUUGAAUCCCACACCUAUUACGUGAUCAGGAAUGAUGACAAAAAAGCAGAAAUCCCGAUGCCAACAAUCUAAAAUCGAUUUUUGAGUACAUUUGAAAAAGAAUAGAAAAAUAGAAAGCAAAAGAAGAAGAAAAGUAAAGUAGAAAUAUGAAAAAGAAAGUGAAAGAAUAAAAAUAUAAAUAUAAAUAAUUAAUUAAUUAACUAAAACAAACCCAACAUCACUUUAAAAAACUAAAAAUAAAAAAUAACAUGCGCACCCAAAGACUCGAACUCAAAACCUCAAGGUACACUAACACUUCACUUCGCCACCAGACCAAGAGACCCAUUCUUACACAAAAAUGCACACCUAAUCACUUAUGUGCAACCUUCUUACUAUCCCUAUGCUCGAAACUCAAAACUUCUAGGGCCAAAAUUCGGGGCGUUACUAUUUUGGACCAUAAAAAAUGACUUUUCUUUCAAGUUUGGCUAUUUAAUUGGCUCACUUACCUCUAUUAUGUCAAUAUUAAUCACUAUUGUUGGAAUUCCAUGAGAAUAUUAAUUUAAUUAUCUUAUUCAACAAAUCUGUGAUGAUCGUUUAAUUUAAUUCUUACUUCAAACUUCAAUUGUUUAAUUAAAAUCAUUUAAAUAAUAAUUCAAAAAAAUUAAAUUAAUUUUUAAGUCAUUUUUUGUACUUAGCGAGAAAAUGCAUUCACUGCAAAUAAUUAUACAUGUGAUCUAUUUCUCUUACUUAUCAUUUACAUUCAUUCCACAGUUUAUCGAAUCUAUAUGAAAUCUGUUCCGGGUUAUCCUUAUCUAGUGGAGGGAUUGAUUGGACAUGUAUAAUUAGGGUACAAAUAAUUUUUAAUUAAGUUCUGACUCUUGGCCUAUUACUUACUACUCAUUCAAUCAUGGAGUCAUAAAACUAUAGUACCAUGACUAAACUUUUCCUUAUUAUAUACCAUUGCAAAAUCUAUUUUAUUAAGUGUUCAUCCAAUUACCUUGGCAUAAAUGUGUUAGCCUUACAUGAUAUCCUUAAUCUCUUUGGGAUAAAAUUUUUUCUCUCGAUAUGAUCCUAUUUUAUCUUAUGGUUUUCGUUACAUCUACAUAUAUGAAAAAAUCAAUUACUAACACAUAGUAAUUAAAUCAUUUAUCUUAUGAAAAAUGACUCGUGGCCACAUUUUUUUUUCAUUAAUCAUGUAAUGUCAAUGAGAAAAUAUCAUUUACCCUUCUAGAGCUAUGAUUCCAUUGUUGAGGAAUGAUGCUAUAUCAUGUAGAAGCCAUGUAUGCAAUGUACCAACUUUUGGUUCCUUAUCUAUUUGAACUCAGACUUUUAUUUACAUUAAAAUAAACGAGUCACACAUACGUAGGCCAUCACCUACUUAGGAUUAAGAUAUUCUACACUAUGAACGUCACAAGUGAAUAAAUCUAUAAACAAGUCUAGGAUAAAUUCAACUUAGGUCCUGUCCAAUGUAUUGUCAGUCUAGACAAUACCAUCAAUGUCUUUAUCUUUUGGGAGUCAUUCGCUCUGAUGUUGAAAAACAAGACAUGUCCCUAAUUGGACUUGAUAGAUGACAUAAUAGUCUUUCAGUCGAUUUGCUUAGUUUCGAUUAGACCACAAACUGUUUAGAUUAUCUACUAAUAUAAAUUGUAUACACACAUUAUGAUCCAACUACCUAAUGCAAUUUAAUACUAGUUAAACGUUAGAUAAUCAAUGAUCCAAUAUUUACUUACAUUUUGCUUUGCAAGCAAAAUCUGACCAGGAUAGUUUCAAAUGAUAUUAUUUUGCAAUAAAAUUUUAUUUAAAUCAAUUUGUUCAAAAAUUUACAAUUAUAAGUUGACGAAUAUAUUACAAUUAAGGCACUAAAUCCUAAUUGUCAUAUCCUUGACCUAGGACGUCAUGUCACCACCACGACAAGGAGAAAAGGUAUAACCCUGUUGUCAACAAGCCUAGUGUCGAUAGGCCAAUUUGUCCGGCCCCUUUUGAAACCCAAAAUAAACCAAGAAAAAAGAAUAAACAAAACAGUCCAUUAAUAUUCUAUUUACAGCCCAAUACCUAAGCCCAAUUACAUGACCCUAUAACUAAUACCCUAGCCCAGUUACAAAACAGCCCAAAGCUCCAAGACCCAAAUGGCCCAGAAACUGAGCCCAAUUUCUAAGCCCAAUUACAUGACCCUAUAACUAAUACCCUAGCCCAGUUACAAAACAGCCCAAAGCUCCAAGACCCAAAUGGCCCAGAAACUGAGCCCAAUUUCGGUAAACCCUAGGGCAAAGGUCUCCUCGCUCCGCAGCCCUCACUGGCGGCCUAACCACGCAGUAGUCCCAGCCUCCACACCUCCGUGCGGCCUCCUGGCACCACGCCCACGCCCCGUACGCCAGCACAUGGCUGCGUACCCGAGCGCACACCCGUACCUGCAAGAACACAGACAGAGCAGUAGCCAAUACCAAAGCAAAGAAAAAACUUGUAUUUUUCUUUAUUUUUUUUUGAACAUUCAACUAUAAAAGCCUACUAUCUUCGAUUGUAAACUUUUUUUUGAAGGAGGGACACAAGCACAUUUCUACACACUGAAUACAAAAAAACGCGAAAAAAAAGGAAUAUACACAUACAAUAGCAAUCGAAUACAGAGGUUGAAUAUUCUUCAAAGGUGGUUCCUUUUUAUUUUUUUUACGCCUCCAUUUUUCCAUUUCUGCUUCGAAAUCUAUCAAAAACGCAAAAAGAAAACGAAAGAGGAGUUUACCUUGCGAAGCUAGCCGUCGUUUCCCCUUCACUUCGUCGAAAUCGAAGUCUGAAUGGGGUCUCAAGGGCCAAAACCACUCUUUUAGGGCUCGAACGCGCAGAUCGUUGUUCGUGUGGCACAUUAGUGCCGAGGGUAGCAUUUUGGGGUUAAUUGGGCAGCAAAAGGGGGAGGUUGAUACACUGCUAGGGUUUCGGCUGAAUGAAAACCCACUUAGUCUUUUAAAGAAGCAAAAACGGCACCGUUUAGGUCAAAUGUAACGGCCAAAAAAGACGUCAUUUGAAACUUUGCCCGGCGACCCGACCCAAUGGCCCCUGGGAUCCGCGCGUUUUCGCGGUGAGGGGUUAAUUUUCUUUAAAUCCCUCCCUUUUUGCGCCACGUUUAGAUCGGCC
rnacentral:lncRNA from 1 species